rnacentral:rRNA from 1 species
ACGGCUCAGUAACACGUGGACAACCUAACCUAAGGACAGGCCUAACCUCGGGAAACUGAGGGUAAUUCCUGAUAGGAUACGGACACUGGAAAGUUCCAUAUCCCAAAUCAUUUAUGGCCUUAGGAUGGGUCUGCGGCAGAUCAGCCUGUUGGUAGGGUAACGGCCUACCAAAGCGAUAAUCUGUACGGGUGAUGUGAGUCAUAGCCCGGAGAAGGGGACUGAGACAAGGCCCCUAGCCCUACGGGGUGCAGCAGUUACGAAACCUUUACAAUGCGCGAAAGCGUGAUAAGGGAACUCCAAGUGAUUAUACGCGAGUAUAAUCUUUUGCUAAGUGUAGGUAGCUUGGCGAAUAAGGACUGGGCAAGAUUCGUGCCAGCCGCCGCGGUAAUACGAACAGUCCGAGUAGUGCCCGCGAAUAUUGGGCUUAAAGCGUCCGUAGCUGGUUCAUCAAGUCCUUUGUGAAAGCCCAUUGCUCAACUUUGGGAAGUGCAGAGGAAACUGUUGGACUUGGAGGCGGGAGAGGUCAGAGGUACUUUUAGAGUAGCGGUAGAAUGCAAUAAUCCUAAAAGGACCACCAGUAGCGAAGGCGUCUGACUAGAACGCACUCGACAGUGAGGGACGAGGGCUAGGGGAGCAACAGGGACUAGAUACCCCUUUAGUCCUAGCUGUAAAGGAUGCAAACUAGGUGUUACGUAAUCCUUGUGAUUGCGUGGUGCCGCAGGGAAACCGGUAAGUUUGCCGCCUGGGGAGUACGGCCGCAAGACUGGAACUUAAAGGAAUUGGCGGGGGAGCACCACAAGCGGUGGAGGGUGUGGUUUAAUUGGAUUCAACGCC